rnacentral:rRNA from 1 species
GGUGAACGCUGGCGGCGUGCUUAAGACAUGCAAGUCGAACGGCAGUCUUCGGACUGUAGUGGCGCACGGGUGAGUAACGCGUAACUGACCUACCCCAAAGUCGCGGAUAACGAUUCGAAAGAAUCGCUAAUACGUGAUGUGCUGUCAGAUUGUGUUCUGCCAGUAAAGAUUGAUUGCUUUGGGAUGGGGUUGCGUUCCAUCAGCUAGUGGGUGGGGUAAAGGCCCACCAAGGCGACGACGGAUAGCCGGCCUGAGAGGGUGGCCGGCCACAGGGGCACUGUGACACGGGUCCCACUCCUACGGGAGGCAGCAGUUAGGAAUCUUCCACAAUGGGCGAAAGCCUGAUGGAGCGACGCCGCGUGAGGGGUGAAGGUCUUCGAAUCGUAAACCUCUGAAUCAGGGACGAAAGACACUUCGGUGGGAUGACGGUACCUGAGUAAUAGCACCGGCUAACUCCGUGCCAGCCGCCGCCGUAACAC